rnacentral:rRNA from 1 species
ACUGCGAAUGGCUCAUUAUAUAAGUUAUCGUUUAUUUGAUAGUACCUUACUACUUGGAUAACCGUGGUAAUUCUAGAGCUAAUACAUGCUAAAAAUCCCGACUUCGGAAGGGAUGUAUUUAUUAGAUUAAAAACCAAUGCCCUCUGGGCUCUCUGGUGAUUCAUGAUAACUUCUCGAAUCGCAUGGCCUUGCGCCGGCGAUGGUUCAUUCAAAUUUCUUCCCUAUCAACUUUCGAUGUUUGGGUAUUGGCCAAACAUGGUCGCAACGGGUAACGGAGGGUUAGGGCUCGACCCCGGAGAAGGAGCCUGAGAAACGGCUACUACAUCCAAGGAAGGCAGCAGGCGCGCAAAUUACCCAAUCCCGACACGGGGAGGUAGUGACAAUAAAUACUGAUACAGGGCUCUUUCGGGUCUUGUAAUUGGAAUGAGUACAAUUUAAAUCCCUUAACGAGGAACAAUUGGAGGGCAAGUCUGGUGCCAGCAGCCGCGGUAAUUCCAGCUCCAAUAGCGUAUAUUAAAGUUGUUGUGGUUAAAAAGCUCGUAGUUGAACCUUGGGCCUGGCUGGCCGGUCCGCCUCACCGCGUGUACUGGUCCGGCCGGGCCUUUCCCUCUGUGGAACCUCAUGCCCUUCACUGGGCGUGACGGGGAAACAGGACUUUUACUGUGAAAAAAUUAGAGUGCUCCAGGCAGGCCUAUGCUCGAAUACAUUAGCAUGGAAUAAUGAAAUAGGACGUGCGGUUCUAUUUUGUUGGUUUCUAGGACCGCCGUAAUGAUUAAUAGGGACAGUCGGGGGCAUCAGUAUUCAAUUGUCAGAGGUGAAAUUCUUGGAUUUAUUGAAGACUAACUACUGCGAAAGCAUUUGCCAAGGAUGUUUUCAUUAAUCAGGAACGAAAGUUAGGGGAUCGAAGACGAUCAGAUACCGUCGUAGUCUUAACCAUAAACUAUGCCGACUAGGGAUCGGACGAUGUAAAUAAUUGACUCGUUCGGCACCUUACGAGAAAUCAAAGUGUUUGGGCUCCAGGGGGAGUAUGGUCGCAAGGCUG